CGGCAUUUCUUCGAGCAUCUCGUAGAUCACUUCUCUCGUGUUGUGGCAUUCUAUAUUCUCACGGCCAACAAUCCUCUCUCAAUUCCAGCAAGCACAUCUUCCAAUUUUUUAGGAGUCACGCAUCGCAGGCAAUCCAAAAAUCACCAUUUGAAUCAAACAUACUCAGAAUACUUCGCAAUGAAAUCGAGUAUCAGUUGGAUUACGCCCCUCCCCACCCGCCUGUUACAAAGUUUAAUACAUUUAUGGUGGAAGAUCGGCCAGGAGAGCAGUGGGUUACCUUGAGGAGGAAAUUUGGCGAGGAUGAACAUAUCAAAAUCGAGGCAACAAUGAUUGAUGGAGCAAUUACCAUUCCAAAAGGAAAUGAUGAGAAUUUAGGGGAGGAUGUGCGGCUUCACAUAAGUGUGCUAGUUGACAUAUGGAAAGGUGAAGG
rnacentral:misc_RNA from 1 species